AUGGAGCGAGGCAACGCACACCCUCCCUCCGCAAACCCUAGCCGCCGCACGAGGGAAGAGAUGAGGGGCAGCACGUUGCGUCCAGACGUCUCCGUCGCCGGCUUCUCUACACUCCGUUCCCCAGUCCCCACCUCCUCCGGUCCUCCCGCACGGCCGCUCCUCCGCGACGGCACCAACUGUCCAGAAGCGGAGUCGCUGCCUCGACCCGGGGUCCCCCCGUCCCUGUCGUGGUCGGCACCACGCACAUCCCGAGGCACCACCCGCUCAUUGUCGGCACGCCCGAGCCUGCCAAGAAGGAGGCCGUGCCGCGGAGGGGCUCCUGGGGCCGAGAAGCACAGCGGCGCCGACAAUGCCGGGGUGCUCGCAUCACCCAAGGUUGUCAGGUCCAUCGCGCUCAACUUCGAGGAGAAGACGCCCGUCAAGGAGCGGCCCUCGCCAGCGCGGAGCUCGGCGUUGGUCAAGAAGAGCACCACCAUCAUGCCCAGGCUGGUGACACACGGCUAG
rnacentral:rRNA from 1 species